rnacentral:rRNA from 1 species
CCUACGGGAGGCAGCAGUGGGGAAUAUUGGGCAAUGGGCGCAAGCCUGACCCAGCAACGCCGCGUGAAGGAUUAAGGCCCUGCGGGUCGUAAACCUCUUUUGCCGGGGAGCAGAGGUCCGGACGUGUCCGGGCCGGGAGAGUACCCGGAGAAAAAGCAUCGGCUAACUCCGUGCCAGCAGCCGCGGUAAUACGGAGGAUGCGAGCGUUAUCCGGAUUUAUUGGGUUUAAAGGGUGCGUAGGCGGGCAUUUAAGCCGGCGGUGAAAUGUCGGGGCUCAACCCCGGCCUGCCGUCGGAACGGGGUGCCGUGAGUGGGCGAGAAGUAUGCGGAAUGCGUGGUGGAGCGGUGAAAUGCAUAGAUAUCACGCAGAACCCCGAUUGCGAAGGCAGCAUACCGGCGCCCUACUGACGCUGAGGCACGAAAGUGCGGGUAUCGAACAGGAUUAGAUACCCCUGUAGUC